UACCACAACUCACAGCGAGAUAACUCCCACGAGGAGACAACUCGCUCGGUCCUACAAACCCGUUGCGAGACAACUCCCAUGAGGAGCCAACUCCAUCGGUAUUACGAAUCCACAGCGAGACAACUCCCACGAGGAGCCAACUCGCUCGGAACUACAACUCGUAGCGAGACAACUCCCACGAGGAGAUAACUCGCACGGUC
rnacentral:lncRNA from 1 species